rnacentral:ncRNA from 21 species
ACGGCGGGCUGUGACUGGCGUGCAGGGAUGGGAACAACCAUCGGGAAGCGGCCCCCGGGACCGUGCCCCGCCGGGACCGGCACAUGUGCCGUGCGCCUGGGCCGUACCG